UACGUAGGGUGCAAGCGUUUGUCCGGAAUUAUUGGGCGUAAAGAGCUCGUAGGCGGCUUGUCGCGUCGGAUGUGAAAGCCCGGGGCUUAACCCCGGGUCUGCAUUCGAUACGGGCAGGCUAGAGUUCGGUAGGGGAGAUCGGAAUUCCUGGUGUAGCGGUGAAAUGCGCAGAUAUCAGGAGGAACACCGGUGGCGAAGGCGGAUCUCUGGGCCGAUACUGACGCUGAGGAGCGAAAGCGUGGGGAGCGGACAGG
rnacentral:rRNA from 1 species